AUACGGAGGUUGCAAGCGUUGUUCGGAAUUACUGGGCGUAAAGCGCGCGUAGGCGGUCUGUUAUGUCAGAUGUGAAAGUCCUCGGCUCAACCGGGGAAGUGCAUUUGAAACUGGCAGACUUGAGUACUGGAGGGGGUGGUGGAAUUCCCGGUGUAGAGGUGAAAUUCGUAGAUAUCGGGAGGAAUACCGGUGGCGAAGGCGACCACCUGGCCAGAUACUGACGCUGAGGUGCGAAAGCGUGGGGAGCAAACAGGAUUAGAAACCCUAGUAGUCC
rnacentral:rRNA from 1 species